rnacentral:rRNA from 1 species
AAUACAUGCAAGUCGAGCGAUGAGGCUCCUUCGGGAGUACAUCAGCGGCGAACGGGUGAGUAACACGUGUGGUGACUUGCCCCUGAAGAUGGGGAUAACCUCUGGAAACGGGGGCUAAUACCCAAUGUGCUCGGUGAUUCGGUUCAUCGAGUAAAGCUCCGGCGCUUCGGGAGAGGCCUGCGGCCCAUCAGCUAGUUGGUAGGGUAACGGCCUACCAAGGCAGAGACGGGUAGGGGGCGUGAGAGCGCGGACCCCCACACUGGCACUGAGAUACGGGCCAGACUCCUACGGGAGGCAGCAGUAAGGGAUAUUGCGCAAUGGACGAAAGUCAGACGCAGCGACGCCGCGUGGGCGAUGAAGGCCUUCGGGUUGUAAAGCCCUUUUAUGGGGGAAGAGAAAAAGGACGGUACCCCAGGAAUAAGUCCCGGCUAACUACGUGCCAGCAGCCGCGGUAAAACGUAGGGGACAAGCGUUAUCCGGAUUCACUGGGCGUAAAGAGCGUUGAGGCGGUUCCGUAAGUUGGGCGUGAAAGCUCCGGGCUUAACUCGGAGAUGUCGUUCAAUACUGCGGGGCUUGAGGACAGCAGAGGAAGGUGGAAUUCCCGGUGUAGUGGUGAAAUGCGUAGAUAUCGGGGGGAACACCCGUGGCGAAGGCGGCCUUCUGGGCUGUUCCUGACGCUGAAGGCGAAAGCUAGGGGAGCGAACGGGAUUAGAUACCCCGGUAGUCCUAGCUGUAAACGAUGGAUGCUGGGUGUGGGGGGUGUAAAUUCCCUCUGUGCCGAAGCAAACGCGUUAAGCAUCCCGCCUGGGGACUACGGCCGCAAGGCUAAAACCCAAACGAAUUGACGGGGGCCCGCACAAGCAGCGGAGCGUGUGGUUUAAUUCGAUGCUACACGAAGAACCUUACCUGGGUUUGACAUGCACGUGGUAGGGAACCGAAAAGGGGACCGACCUUCGGGAGCGUGCACAGGUGCUGCAUGGCUGUCGUCAGCUCGUGCCGUGAGGUGUCGGGUUAAGUCCCGUAACGAGCGCAACCCUUGCCCUUAGUUACAAGUGUUCUAAGGGGACUGCCCGGGACAACUGGGGAGGAAGGUGGGGAUGACGUCAAGUCAGCAUGGCCUUUAUAUCCAAGGGCUACACACACGCUACA